rnacentral:lncRNA from 1 species
UGUUGGUGAGCUCCAAUUUACUUCGGAGCUUUCCGAGUCGGUUCCUUAUGUUUUGUUAUUGUACAUGAGUCAUAUGUGGGCGGGGGUUUGUCCCGACCCUAGUUAUGUCAUGUAUAUCCUAGAGGCUUUGUAGACAUAAGGAAGGGUAAAGUCAUGGAAGUUUAUAUAGUGAUGUUAUAUUUGUAUAUGUGGUGGCCCC